rnacentral:misc_RNA from 1 species
AAGACUAUAGACCUGCGGAGUACCUGCGGAGGGAUCAUUACUGAAAGAUCACGGGGUUUUGAGACCGCAUCUUGAAAUGAUGUGUGCUCGACCCUACUCUUUUAUCCACAUACACCUUUUGUGCACUAUGGGACGAUUUAAAGUCCCCUUUAUUUACACAAACACUUGGUAUAUGCAUGUAUUUAAUACUCUAUUGAGUAAUGUACAACUUUCAGCAACGGAUCUCUAGAUCGGAAGAGC